GCCGAGGUGACUCAGUGGUUAAGAGUAGUGGUAGUACUUGAAGAGGGCCUGGGUUCAAAUCCCAGCAUCCACA
rnacentral:tRNA from 1 species